rnacentral:rRNA from 1 species
UACGUAGGGGCAAGCGUUGGUCCGGAUUUAUUGGGCGUAAAGAGCGUGUAGGCGGCUAGGUAGGUCCGCUGUUAAAACAUCGAGGCUUAACCUCGAGAGGUCGGUGGAAACCAUCUGGCUAGAGUCCGGAAGAGGAGAGUGGAAUUCCUGGUGUAGCGGUGAAAUGCGCAGAUAUCAGGAAGAACACCCGUGGCGAAGGCGGCUCUCUGGGACGGUACUGACGCUGAGACGCGAAAGCGUGGGGAGCGAACAGG